CAUGAGCAGGCUCCCCUUGGCUUCCUGGAGGGUCUCGAGCUUGUGGGUAAGGCUUCCGAUGAGCUCAGCCUGGAACAACACGAGAGCCACAUAGCAAAGCAUCACCUGACAACACCUGAUCACACCUUGCCUCAUCACGUUUCCCCACUGUGUCACGUGCCUGCCGCUCUGCCCUUCCCACUGGCUUGUUACAUUCUCAUUCAAAGUCCUCUCGUGGCGUGUUCUUAGUGAGUGCAAAACCACGAGCUAGAAGGCAAACAUCCUCUCUUACAGAGAAGCCACCAAGCAGGAAUGAAGGGACUUGCCCACGGUCUGAGAGCUGAGGUUAAGGGGCUUGCCGUGCAGGGUUAGUGUCUGAGACCCCGGAGCCCAUGGAAACUCGACAGAGUGACCCACAAAGCUGCUCUAACCGCCACCUGCAUGCCAUGACACACGAUGCAUAUGUGUCUAAGGGCAAGGAGAGAUUGUAACUAACACACCAGUGUCCUGUGGGAGCUACUUAAUUUGUAAACGUCUGACAUUUACCCACUGCUUCUCAUCUGCAAACUGUUAACUCAGGCUGUGUGAGAUGCUAUUUCUAUGGAUUCUUUUUCUAAAUAGUUCGAAACCUCCUUCCAUCUCACCGUCUGCACACGAAACAUCCUGCUGGGCCUCUCCACCCCCGUCCCCCGAUGAACACAGACUGAGUCAGAAGCUGGCUCUGACACGAUCACUGCCAGGCAGGCACCUGUGUGUGCCACCAGGCUACCCACACCGCCCGCCUAAGGCUGCCAUCCUGUCUACAUCACUGUGCUCAAGCUCUGUGCCAGGUACAACCAUGUCUUAUGACUCAACCACUGCUUCAACAACCCAACAACUGGUACUGCCAUCGUCCCAAUGUCACUGGUAAGCACAUCGAGGUGAACGGAGGGUACGGGGCAUACCCGAGCCCACACGGUAAGUGGCAGCGCCAGGCUUACACUCAGGGUGCAGACCUCAAUGACCACCUUCAAAUACCUCACAGGGAUGUAAUGAAGCUCAGAUGAAAUAAAGUGUGUGUGAACACACUGGAAACCAGACAGACCAGACACUUCCUGUUUGCUGGGUGCAUAAGACAAUAUUAAUUAUGCAUAAACUAACUAAAAUUAAUGCAUAAAAAUAUUGAAAGAAACAGUGGCUGAAAAGACCCUAAUUGUGGUGACAGGCACCUAUCCAUAGACUUGAAGCUCAGUACACACACCAUCACAGCAAGGCACCACAGCCACGUGGUGAAGGGAGGCAAGCCGCCACGAUGGAGGAGGUCACAUUUACAGCCGGACAUUACUUCUCAGCAGUAACGAAGAAUGCAACAACACGUCUACACGAGGGAAGACUAGAGAAUGGUCAGCCCAGAAUUCUGUAUGCAGCGAAAACAGCCUUCAGCAGUGACAAUGUCCUGGAGACACAGGUGGAAACUACACCAGUGUACAUCUGUUGAGAAGGAAUCUUCCUCAGGAUGAGGAAGCAAGGCCGGAGGGGAACCUGGAACUCCAGAAGCGAAGUGAACAGAAACGGAAGGCAGGGAGCAGAGGUGCCACAGCCGCCUCUCAGGACCCAUCAGCAACGGCCAACUUCAAGGGCAAUCGAGCACAAUGGUUUUCAAUGCUGCUGUCAUUCAUUUCACUACUAAUUGUGCCAAUAAAGCAUCGGUGGAAUUUUGUAUAUUGCAGACAAGGGAAGCCCACACAUAACUAACUAAACAGUGGUGAUUUACUUCCUGAGAGGGUGACUUAAUUCUAUGAAGUAAUGAAAAAGUAGCUCAAACAAAAUGAGGAGCUGGAGAGAUGGCUAAGAGCAGUUGUUGCUCUCACAGAGGAUCCGAGUCCCACUGCUAGCACACAGGGAGUCCCAGAGGAUUUGAUACUCUUCUGUCCUUCCCAGGACCAGGCAUGUAGUGGUAGCCACACAUAUAUACAUAACAUAUAUACAGGCAAAACACCUAUACACAUAAUAAAAUCUUUUAAAAAUGAAGAUGAGGAAAGUGCUGUGUACAUCCCUACUGUAAUGCAGAGGUAUCUGUGCUCAGGACAAAGGAAAACACUCAGUUGAAGAUGUCACAAUACAUGGGAUGGCAUAUAUAGGCUCCUCUCAGUGGUAGAGCAAAGCACAGGGCCCAGUCAGCAGAGAUCUGAAUGAGAACCCUUUGGUUGGGGGAAAUGUGUUGUAAUGGAUAUUGUAGCACACAGUCCUGAACUCACAAUGCUGGAGUGGGCCUGGGGCAUGCUCUGUACAGUAAGUAGGAUGACAUAUGCAAGUCCCUCCUGGCGCCAACAGUGCUACAGCACGCACUGCAUGAUCGCUCCUUUUGCAGAAGGCGCGCCCGGGAUCUGUGGAGGGCUGCAGGCAAUGUGGAGCGGCGUUCUGCCCUGCAGACACAGUCUGCCCACAUCUCCAUGGUAUGUGGGGAGGCUGUGACAACAGCAGGGUCAUUUUUAAAAAUGUCUGACAUUUACAAUAUCUGUGGGAGUACCAAAUGCUAACAAUUACACUUCAAUCCUGUACUUUAAAGGUCUCUGAGGUACUGCAAAGAGCUGGGGGUGGGGAUGUAAAAAGGUCAGGGUUACCUCUCCUCAAAGUCUGGGCAGCUGCUCUUUCCCUAAGCAAAGGUGUGAGAGCCUCUAGUUUUCCUCUUGAAUAAACUACAACCAGUAGCUGAGAACAGUGGCCAGGAACAGGGUCACAAUCCCUGGCACGACCCAGCCAGGAACCUCAGCUGUGAGACCUUUAAUAAAUAGCCCACCCUCUUGAAGCUUUCAUCACUUACACAAUGAGAAUGACAGCGACUUACCUGGCCCGUCCACUCACAGAAGACCUCAGAGAGCUCUCAAGUGCCAUCAGAUGGGACAGGUUUUCCCUGCCUUAGAGGCUGGCACUGGGGAACAGAACCAGUGUCCCACCCUACCUUUUUCUCGUUGACGUCCUCCUCCUCCUCUGGCUCCUCCUCCGGCAUGCCUUUGAUCUUGUUCAGCAGCUCUGCCUUGGCUGCAGACACACUGUAGUAGGCAGGGCAGUUGACCAGCAUGCCCGCCGCUUCCUUGUCAUCGCUCCUGAAACACACGGCACAACGUCAGGACAGCAUUUCUGCGUUCGGUCCUUCAGAAAUGCGCAAAAACUUCCACUUAAGUCUUUCCCAGAAAUGGUGACAAAUGAGCAAAUUAUUUACUGGCGAGUAAUUAUUAUGUGCUGGGCCCCUAGAAUCAGAUAAAGCCAGGGUGGAAAACUUCCAAGCGCAGCGCUGGAGAUGAGAGUGGGAACUGGGCUCCAAGUCAUUGGCUUCUGUUCUCUUGUGGUGGGUUCUGACCUCAUUUCACAGGAGGACAGGUGUGAAAGCACAUCCAAGGGGCUGCACAAGCCCAGAGUACCCGUCAGUCCUGUCCUCCUGCUCCUCUGUAAUCUUGCUGAUGCUUGAAUACAUUUCCAUCUUCAGCAAGCCUCACACCAUACCACACCACACGCCUGUGAAGUCUGGAGCUUGAUGGUUUGGUAACAAUGAACUAAUACAGAACCUGGUCAUCAGCCAGGUAUGGCGGUGCCUGUCUGUAAUCUCAGUGCUUGAGAGGUGGAGGCAGGAGCAUCAAGAUUUUGAAACCAGCCAAGGCUAUUGCAUUUCAAAAUAAAUUUAAAUA